GAGUUUGAUCAUGGCUCAGAUUGAACGCUGGCGGCAGGCUUAACACAUGCAAGUCGAGCGGAAACGAUGGGAGCUUGCUCCCAGGCGUCGAGCGGCGGACGGGUGAGUAACGCGUAGGAAUCUACCCAGUAGUGGGGGAUAGCCCGGGGAAACUCGGAUUAAUACCGCAUACGCCCUACGGGGGAAAGGCCGGGAUCUUCGGACCGGUCGCUAUUGGAUGAGCCUGCGUUGGAUUAGCUAGUUGGUAGGGUAAAGGCCUACCAAGGCGACGAUCCAUAGCUGGUCUGAGAGGAUGGUCAGCCACACUGGAACUGAGACACGGUCCAGACUCCUACGGGAGGCAGCAGUGGGGAAUAUUGGACAAUGGGCGCAAGCCUGAUCCAGCCAUACCGCGUGUGUGAAGAAGGCCUUCGGGUUGUAAAGCACUUUAAGCAGGGAGAAAAAGUUAUAAGUUAAUACCUUAUAACCCUGAUGUUACCUGCAGAAUAAGCACCGGCUAAUUCCGUGCCAGCAGCCGCGGUAAUACGGAAGGUGCAAGCGUUAAUCGGAAUUACUGGGCGUAAAGCGCGCGUAGGUGGUUUGUUAAGUUGGAUGUGAAAGCCCUGGGCUCAACCUAGGAACUGCAUCCAAAACUAACUCACUAGAGUACGAUAGAGGGAGGUAGAAUUCAUAGUGUAGCGGUGGAAUGCGUAGAUAUUAUGAAGAAUACCAGUGGCGAAGGCGGCCUCCUGGAUCUGUACUGACACUGAGGUGCGAAAGCGUGGGUAGCGAACAGGAUUAGAUACCCUGGUAGUCCACGCCGUAAACGAUGACAACUAGCUGUUGGGAGACUAUGUCUUUCAGUGGCGCAGCUAACGCUUUAAGUUGUCCGCCUGGGGAGUACGGCCGCAAGGCUAAAACUCAAAUGAAUUGACGGGGACCCGCACAAGCGGUGGAGCAUGUGGUUUAAUUCGAUGCAACGCGAAAAACCUUACCUACUCUUGACAUACUUGGAGGCUCUUGUAAUGAGAGUGUGCCUUUUGGAACCAAGAUACAGGUGCUGCAUGGCUGUCGUCAGCUCGUGUCGUGAGAUGUUCCGUUAAGUCGGAUAACGAGCGCAACCCUUACCCUUAUUUGCCAGCGAUUCGGUCGGGAACUAUAAGGGGACUGCCGGUGAUAAACCGGAGGAAGGUGAGGACGACGUCAAGUCAUCAUGGCCCUUACGAGUAGGGCUACACACGUGCUACAAUGGGAGAUACAGACGGACGCUAAGCCGCGAGGUGGUGCUAAUCCUAAAAAGUCUUUCGUAGUCCGGAUUGGAGUCUGCAACUCGACUCCAUGAAGUCGGAAUCGCUAGUAAUCGCGGAUCAGCAUGCCGCGGUGAAUACGUUCUCGGGUCUUGUACACACCGCCCGUCACAUCAUGGGAGCGGGUCUCGCCAGAAGUAGUUAGCCUAACUGCAAGGGGGGCGAUUACCACGGCGGGGUUCGUGACUGGGGUGAAGUCGUAACAAGGUAACC
rnacentral:rRNA from 1 species